GGAAACCCCGCCCUCUGUCCUACGCUGCCUCCAGCUCAUCCAUUGCCAGGGCUGCAAGGAUCUCUGAUAUUCCACCCCUAAGGGGUCAAGACCCACAGGUAGAGAGAGGCAGGUGCAUCAAGGUCAUCCUCAGCUGUAAAGCAAGUUCAAGCACUAGGGAGGUGAAAGCAGGAGAAUCGCUGAAGCUUGCUGGUCAGCUGGUCUUGAUGAAUCAGCGAACUCCAGGCUCAGACCCUGUGUCCAAAAAAGCGGGGAGAGAUACUGAAGAAGACGCUGGACAUUGCCUUCUCACUGCCACAUGUGCCUGCACACACGUGUACGUUCAUGUUCCACACAC